GAUCCUGGAUGAGAAGCUGAGAACCAUCCAAGAGUCCUGGUCCAAGGACACAGUGAGCUCCACAAUGGACUUGAGCACAUCCACUCCACAAGAAGAAGAGGAGGAACCUCUGGUGCCUGAGAUGUCCCGUGACACAAUCCUACUUCAGCUUAAUAGGAAAUUGAACAUUUUCUGGAGAGAAAAGCACCUUGGGAAUAGAUGAGAGUGGAGAAGAGGAGGUCUAUGCCUCUCUGUGCGAUGCUGCCUGCUGUCCGUGGCCCUGCCUGUCCCAUCCCCAUGGCUCACUAAGCCCACUGUGGCUCCCUGCC
rnacentral:sRNA from 1 species